UCACCACAAGAAAUAGAAGCAGCAACCGUAAUAUACUUUUGCACAUACAAGCAUACAUAAAUUUACAACAUAGUAUAUCCUGAUACAUAGUUGGACGGAUGCUCUGAGAUUUUUAGAAGUGAUGAGGAACAAACAUUAAAAAUCAACUGAGAUUUCUAGAGAAGUUCCAUGCUGUAAUGAGAAAGUCCAACACAGCUCUCAGAUAGUCACUCUGUAGAGCUCCAAAACAUAAAGAAGCCUGAGCUACCAAAGCUGCUUUAUACUUUUUAACAUGAGGGUUCUCUCAAGAUGGGCCAAAAAGCAAUGCAUACAUCUUAUUUUUAUUCUACAAGAACGAAACACUCCAAUAGUUAACAACUAAUCUAUCAGUACAUGCAGAACAAUUUCAGUUUUGAGAACAAACUUCCAUUUGAUGCUCUAAAAUCUGUAUAGAGGACAGGAUGGGCCUGGGGUACUUAGAAAAUCUUGGCACGCUUUUACCAUGAGGCACCUUCUCCCCGAUGUUGAAUAGAAGAAUGUAGAUAAAGAAACAAUUCAUUUUUUUCUAAAAUAAGAAUUAAACUGAACAAAAAUUAGAUAUUGAACUAAACUAAAAUAAGAAACUUGACUAAAUUAAAAUAAGAAAUGAAACUUAACUAGAAUUUGAAAUUGAAAUGAAAUAAAAUAAGAGUUUUUUUGCAUAUCCUGACUAACUUUUCUCCUAGUGAAUUUUUUCUUGAUAUUUUUGUGUUCUUUAUUUUCUACGCUCUUGCCUCUGAACUUUCUCGUAGUGCAAAAUUUGUAUGCCACGAUUAAAACAGAGAGGUAUACGUGAACUUUGUAGCAUUGGAGAUAUGAACUUAUGUGCUUAUCACAUUUGAGCUUCAAUAACCUUUUUCGUAGAUCCAAAACGAAAAAAAAGAAAAUACAACCACAUGGACCAACACAUUUGGAGGGAGAAAUUAGAGACGUACAUCACGGGGUAGCAAAUAAUAUGAACUCCGGGCACAACAUUUUUUUAACUUCUUUUUGUUUCUCGCAAGCUGAAAAUAAGAAGAAAGCAAAUUAGAACACAAAGUAAGAAGAAAGCAGAGCACCAGUGCUUGUGAGGCAUGGAUCCCUCAACCCUCUUACAUCCUACAUAGGCAGAGGCUUCGUGUACUGUAGUCAAAUCAAAUAAUAUUAACCUAAAAUCAUUUGUAUGCACAUUACCCUGAUAUCCCAUAAGCCAUUUGUGUACAACAUCAUUAUCAGGCAUAACAACAAGCACCUGUUCGUGCUAUAGGAACAUAGAAACACCUCCUUCGACCUAUGAUCCGACGUCGUUGGCUCGUUGUCCUUGCCAUCAAUGGGCAAUGCCCCUGAAGUUGGCACUUGGCGUAGACUAGUAGUAGAACUUACCAGCCCUCCAACUUGCACUGAGGACAUCUUAAACGAACAUCAAAUGAACCUCCUAGCAUUUAUUCUAUGAACUUCUCUCAAGGUACACAUGUUUCCCUAAAUUUGCAAGUUGAUUUUCUUCUUUCUUUUAUCAGAUAACUUAUACAUAUAGAUCUUCUUUACAAAAUUUUAUAAACGACACCACACAUGUGUACUAUUUUUAUUUGAACAUCCUAGCACUCUUGUGUAACUUUUUCUCAGGACAAAAUAUAUUGUAGGUGGGCAUUGGAGCUUUCCAUUACCUUGUAUUGUGCUUGUCCGACAAAGCAUAGCUGUUCUUUUAGCACAAAAUAGUUUUUCACUAAAUUUUCUAGUCCAACAUCAGCAUCUGGUCAGGUCCCAUCGCAUCUCACUCCUUUCUUCUGGAAGUAGGACUCUGUAAUUUUCCAUCAGUUCAAAGUGUAG
rnacentral:lncRNA from 1 species